rnacentral:ncRNA from 1 species
UUAAGCCAUCGCGGCAGGUGCUCACGUUAAGCCCACUGACUUUCAUGUCCCUAUCUACUAUCUAGCGAAACCACAGCCAAGGGAACGGGCUUGGAAUAAUUAGCGGGGAAAGAAGACCCUUUUGAGCUUGACUCUAAUCUGGCAGUGUAAGGAGACAUAAGAGGUGUAGAAUAAGUGGGAGAUAUUAGACUUCGGUUUGGUAUCGACAAUGAAAUACCACUACUCUUAUUGUUUCCUUACUUACUUGAUUAAAUGGAACGUGUAUCAUUUCCUAGCCAUUAUACGGAUAUAAUUAUUAUGUCUUAUGGUAUUGGGUUUUGAUGCAAGCUUCUUGAUCAAAGUAUCACGAGUUUGUUAUAUAAUCGCAAACAAAUUCUUUAAUGAGAGAAUGCAUUUAUGUAUUAUUGAUUAAAAAUUUGGUAUAACUCCAAUU